AAUCAACGCUGGCGGCGUGCUUAACACAUGCAAGUCGAGCGGUAAGGCCCUUUCGGGGGUACACGAGCGGCGAACGGGUGAGUAACACGUGGGUGACCUGCCCUCAGCUCUGGGAUAAGCCUGGGAAACCGGGUCUAAUACUGGAUAUGACUCCAUGACGCAUGUUGUGGGGUGGAAAGCCUUGUGCGGCUGAGGAUGGGCCCGCGGCCUAUCAGCUUGUUGGUGGGGUGAUGGCCUACCAAGGCGACGACGGGUAGCCGGCCUGAGAGGCGACCGGCCACACUGGGACUGAGACACGGCCCAGACUCUACGGGAGGCAGCAGUGGGGAAUCUUGCGCAAUGGGCGAAAGCCUGACGCAGCGACGCCGCGUGAGGGAUGACGGCCUGGU
rnacentral:rRNA from 1 species